UCAUUUGAUUAUAUAUGUGACUUAUGGCUUGCAAUGUGAAUUUAAUUACGAAAGAAAAAAAAAUUCAAGUAAUUUUAUUAUCAUUGUAUGUGUAUAACAACAACAACAACGACAACGACAACCAAAAUGACCAGAACGAUACCAAUGUGAAAACAAAAAUAAUGGUAAAGAUCAAGACAUCAAGUUUUUUUUUGUUUGUUUGUUGAGAAAAACCAUGUGCAUUAUAUAUACGAAAUUAAGAUUAAAUCAACAACAACAACAACAACGAAACAAGGUCACGAAUUCAUUUAGAGAGAUUUUACAUUUUUUUCUGCUUCCGUUGAGAUAAUUAAUUUGUCUAUAUCUAUAUACAAUUUUUCGCUACUCCACCUUGCAAUAUUCGCACAAACACACACAGCUGGAUGGCCGUAAUGAUGGUCAAUUGAUAAUCGAACGUUUUUCGAAAAUGUGAUGGUUCCAUUUCAUUGAUCAUAACAUUCAUUCAUUCAUUCAUUCAUUCUCUUUUGGAUUGAUGAAUGAUUAUGAAAGAUGAUCGUCGUUUUUUUUUCUUGGACCACACCAAACCAAUGUUCAUUUAUACCAUUUUUUUUUUUUUUUGGUUGUGAAGAAAAAAAAAAAAAAUCGUUUCAUUUUUUUUCCAUA